rnacentral:rRNA from 1 species
CGGUGGUAUGGGAUGGGCCCGCGUCUGAUUAGGCAGUUGGCGGGGUAACGGCCCACCAAACCGACGAUCAGUAGCCGGCCUGAGAGGGCGGACGGCCACAUUGGGACUGAGACACGGCCCAAACUCCUACGGGAGGCAGCAGUGGGGAAUAUUGCACAAUGGGGGAAACCCUGAUGCAGCGACGCCGCGUGAGCGAAGAAGUAUUUCGGUAUGUAAAGCUCUAUCAGCAGGGAAGAAAUUGACGGUACCUGACGAAUAAGCCACGGCUAACUAC